rnacentral:rRNA from 1 species
UGGGGAUGACGUCAAGUCCUCAUGGCCCCUUAGUAGGUGGGGCUACACACGUCAUACAAUGGAUGGUACAAAGGGUCGCCAACCCGCGAGGGGGAGCCAAUCCCAUAAAGCCAUUCGUAGUCCGGAUCGCAGUCUGCAACUCGACUGCGUGAAGUCGGAAUCGCUAGUAAUCGCGGAUCAGCAUGUCGCGGUGAAUACGUUCCCGGGUCCGUU